rnacentral:tRNA from 1 species
AGUUAUUUAGCUUAAAUUUCAAAGCAUUUAUUUUGAAAAUAAAAGAUAGAGUUAUUUAAUAACUU